AUUCGGCUGUCUCCCUCCGCUUCUCAGCGGCUCCGGCCGCGUGGGAGGUGGGAGCACUGGGCAAGUGGCUUCGUAGGAUGCUCCUUAGUGAGACCAGCCGGGUGUGGAUGCCGCUCCUACACCGUCCCAGACAGUCACUGAGGCCCAGCUGUGCUUUGGGCAGUCCUGGGAGCUGCAAAUAUAUCCGGCGAACAAGACUGAGUCUCACUUGACUGACGUCUGUCAUUGAAGAGGCUGUUCUAACUGGGGACAACAGGAAGCCAACCAACCACGGCCACCAGCACCACCCCCUGGAGAACCUCAAGCCUCGAGGGAUAAAUACACAAUGGAAAUAAAGCAAGGCGAGAACCAUCGAGCGUGCCAGGGGAGCGACUUUAAAGGGAUGAUAUUGAAGGACCUCUCUGAGGAUGUGUGGUGAACAGCAAGAAGGGCCUGCCGUGCACAAAAAUCUAGGAAAAGAACAUUCUAGGAGAAGAGACCUGCCAGCGGAGAGGCCCUAAGACAAGACUGAGCUUAGCUGGAGGAAUGGCGAGAGGCCCCGGUGGCAGGGAUGAGGAACUUUAUAAUAGAGGUCUUUUAUUGCCAUUCAAGAGCUGUAGCAACCAAGGCACAGAGAUGUUGAGCAAGUUGUCCGAGGUCACAGAGAGGCCGGGUGGCAAAGCAGGAAUGGAAUUGAUCCUCCAUCUUCAAGAGUUGAUGCGUAGGAGCUUGGCCUGAAUUUUAACCACGGAAGCAUGAAAAGUGGCGGAUACCCCACUUUGGGACAUGAACAGGAAGUUUGAGAAGUGACAGGCCACAGGCACAGGCCAGCCCUGCUGAGAAAUCGCCAUCAGGAGCAAACCACAUGUCCUGUGAACUCGGGGACCUGCCAGCAAAAUUCCCUGAUGCUGGAACUUCGGGCAGAGAGCGCCGGUCUUGCGCUGAUUGGCGUCAGGAGCCAAGUGUGGUGGGGGAGGGGAGUCAGCACAUAUUUCUCCGCUGAACUCCGUUUCCCAUUUGGUUUGGCAGCUUGUUUUUCAUGAAAUGAGGCCAAUCCACGAAUUCCGUGUCAACAUCGCUCCUUUUACUGGAACCGCAAAGGCAGCCCCCCGGGACUGGCUCCAUCUCUGGGCAGACAUCAAAACAACCCCUUUUCGCUUUGAAAGCAUAGCAGGCGUCUCAGAGCCCCCCACUUCCUUACCUGUGUUUCCCUCUGAGGAAGAAAGCAAGGACCAGGGCCGUGGCUGCAGUGCCCCGAGCUCACUGUUGGCACAGCAGCCCUGGGCUGGCCACGCUGAGGGUUCUCCUGGCCCUGCUGCCUGUCUUCCCUUUCUUGUGCGUCCAAGGCCCGGAGGCUCCUUCCUGCCUGCUUGUCUCGCUUCCAGGACUAGCUUGAUGAGUAGGCAUGGCCUCCCCAGCCCCUCAGCUGUCACCCUGCCACAGCUGCCCUCCUGCUGCGACCUCAGGGGGUUGCAGAAGGUGCUGUGGCAUCCAAAAUCCACUCCCCAUCAGGGACUAGAGCCGAACUUCCGAGGCCUCCAGGGCUCCUCUGCUCUGGGGAGGGGGCCUCCUCUUAGCUGCUCCAACACCUGCUGCCCAGCGGGGUGGGGCCGGUGUGCAGGUAGGAGCAAGCAGGCACAUUUGGGAAGGAGAAUAAUAGUGGGUAGUGAGUAGCGGACAGUCAGAAGUGGCUUUAUUGGCAACUGGUACGUACUGAUGGGCACGUCAGCAGCAAGGUUCACUGCAUACGAGGUUGUCUGCAUGAGAGAGGAGGUGGGAGAAAGGCUGUCCUGGGGCAUGGGGUGACCUGGCUCCAGGUCACCUUUCUCUAGGAAGGUCCUGCUCUGUGUCCUCUCGACACCCUGUGCUUCUCUUGUGGCUGCAGCCCCUGUCACGGCCUCUGCACGCUCCUGUCUUCCCAGCUGCUGUCUUCCUCCCCAUCUCCUCCCAGGACCCAGCACCCUUGCGCAUAUGGUGAGGUCAGCGACCCCCUCCACUGUGUCAAGUGAGUGAAUGACUACUGGCUGCUCCUUGCAGUGCUGGGGAGACGAUGCAAGGGGCGGUGGGGUUGUCACGGCUCUAUCCCAAGGGGAGGUCCUGAGGCACCAACAGCGUAGCAGUUUUGCAGUGUGCCCGGAGUGUGAGUCUGGGCUCCAUGACUUACUAGCUGUGUGCUGGACAAGCUGUUUAUCUUUCUGUGCCUCAGUUUCUUCAUGUAUAAAAUAGAGAUAAUAAUACCUACCUAAUUUUUUUUGUGAGAAAUAAAUGAGUUAAUAUAUUUAAACUCCUUAAACAAAAAGUCUGAUAUUUUGUAAGCUCUUAAUAAAUGUCAGCUUAAGAAAUUUUUUUAAAACCCUAGAAGAGUCAGCUCUUGAAGCUGUCGUCAUUCAUUGCUGACUUCCUUUGUUCCCAUCUCGCUGGGCUCUUCCUAUUGCUAACGCGCUGGCCCGUUCCUGCCUCAGGGCCUCUGCACCUCUCUUCUCCCUGCCUGGCGUGCUCUUCCCCAGAUAUUCACACGGCUUCCUCCUUCACUUCAGGUAGGUCUUUACUGAAGUGCGAUUUCCUUGGAAGCCUUCCCUUUGGGCCUUAUCUAAAAGAGCAUACCCCUUGCCCUGUUUUGGGUUUCAUCAUGAGGGACUUACAGUAGAAUGCCCACGUGGGACUUGUGCAUUACAUUAUCUGAGUUUUGGUUGUGUCCACACUAAAAAGUCAGCUCCAUGAAGACGGGGACAUUGUUUCAUUCACUGUAUCAUUCCUGGUGCCCAGUAUAGUGUCUGCCACCUAACAGGUGCUUAGAAAUAGUUAUUGUUGGAUGGAUGGAGAGAUGGAUGGGUGGAUGAGUGGAUAGUUAGAUGGAUGGAUGGGUGGGUAGAUAGAUGGAUGGGUGGGUAGGUGGCUGGGUGGGUGGAUAGAUGUUUG
rnacentral:lncRNA from 1 species